AGAGUUUCUUCUUGGCUCAGGGUGAACGCUGGCGGCGUGCCUCUUGCAUGCAAGUCGAGCGGCAACAGGUCCUUACCUCUGGUCUGGAUGCUGGCGAGCGGCGAACGGGUCUGUCUUACGUGGGUCUCCUACCCUCUCUAAGGGGAUACCCCACCGAAAGGUGGAUCAAUACCCUAUCUUCUCCAAGAAGGCAACUUCUUGGAGGAAAGGUGGCAGUUUCUGCUACCGCUUCAGGAUGGGCUCACGGCCCAUCAGCUCUUUGGUCUGGUCUUGGCUCACCAAGGCUCUGACGGGUCUCUGGCCUCUCUGGGUGGUCAGCCACAUUGGGACUCUCUCACGGCCCAAACUCCUACGAGAGGCAGCAGCAGGGAAUCUUGGGCAAUGGGCGAAAGCCUCUCCCAGCGACGCCGCGUGGGUCUUCUCUGCCUUCGGGUCGUCUCUCCCUUUUCUCUGGGAUCUCUGAUUAUAUCCUCUAUCUGGAUAUCUUCUUCUCAGUACCCUCUGAAUCUGCUCCAGCCAACUACGUGCCAGCAGCUGCGGUCUUACGUCUGGAGCAAGCGUUACCCGGAAUCACUGGGUGUCUCUGGUGUGCAGGCGGUUUCUCAAGUCGAAUGUCAAAGCCCACAGCUUCUCUGUGGAAAGGCAUUCGAUACUGCUCUACUCUCUGACGGAAGAGGGAAGUGGAAUUCCCGGUGUCUCGGUCUCUUGCGUCUAUAUCGGGAGGAACACCAGUGGCGAAGGCGGCUUCCCGGUCCGUUCCUCUCGCUCAUACACGAAAGCCAGGGGAGCGAACCGGAUUCUAUACCCGGGUCUUCCUGGCCCUCUACGAUGGGUGCUUGGUGUUGGGUGGACAAACCCACUCAGUGCCGUCUUUCUCACGUUCUGCACCCCACCUGGGUCUUACGGUCGCAAGGCUCUCUCUCAAAGGAAUUCUCGGGAGCCCGCACAAGCAGCGGCGCAUGUGGUUUCUUUCGAUGCUACACGAAGAACCUUACCUGGGCUUCUCAUGCUGGCUUCUGCCCGCUCGAAAGAGUCUGGUGGAUAUGUCCUCGUCUCAUAUCAGCCAGCACAGGUGCUGCAUGGUUGUCGUCAGCUCGUGUCGUCUCUUGUCUGGUUCUGUCCUUCUACGAGCGCAACCCCUGCCCUCAGUUGCUCUCGGGUCUUGCCGAGGACACUCUGGGGACUGCCGUCGACAAGACGGAGGAAGGUGGGGAUCUCGUCAAAUCCUCAUGGCCUUUAUGCCCAGGGCCACACACAUGCGACAAUGGUCUGGACAAUGGGACGCGAAGGGGUCUCCCGGAGCAAAUCCCCAAAACCUACCCCAGUACCGAUUCUGGGCUGCAACUCGCCCUCAUCUCUCUGGAGUUGCUCUUCUCGGCGGGUCAGCCAUACCGCCGUCUAUACGUUCCCGGGCUUUGUACACACCGCCCGUCACACCA
rnacentral:rRNA from 1 species